ACCUGGGUGGCUCAGUCAGUUAAGCAUCCGACUUUGGCUCAGGUCACGAUCUCACAGUUCGUGGGUUCGAAUCCCACAUCAGGCU
rnacentral:tRNA from 1 species